rnacentral:rRNA from 1 species
AUUGAACGCUGGCGGCAGGCCUAACACAUGCAAGUCGAGCGAGCGGCGGACGGGUGAGUAAUGUAUGGGGACUGCCCGAUAGAGGGGGGUAACUCCUGGAAACGGUAGCUAAUACCGCAUACUAUCGGAUAACCCAUAUGGGGUUAGCUAUUAGGUGAGGUAAUGGCUCACCUAGGCGACGAUCCGUAGCUGGUCUGAGAGGAUGAUCAGCCACACUGGGACUGAGAAACGGCCCAGACGCCUACGGAGGCAGCAGUGGGGAAUAUUGGACAAUGGGAGCAAGCCUGAUACAGCCAUGCCGCGUGUAUGAAGAAGGCCUUAGGGUUGUAAAGUACUUUCAGUCGGGAGGCGUUACCGACAGAAGAAGCACCGGCUAACUCCGUGCCAGCAGCCGCGGUAAUAC